rnacentral:rRNA from 1 species
CGAUGAGUGCUAAGUGUUAGGGGGUUUCCGCCCCUUAGUGCUGCAGCUAACGCAUUAAGCACUCCGCCUGGGGAGUACGGUCGCAAGACUGAAACUCAAAGGAAUUGACGGGGGCCCGCACAAGCGGUGGAGCAUGUGGUUUAAUUCGAAGCAACGCGAAGAACCUUACCAGGUCUUGACAUCCCGUUGACCACUGUAGAGAUAUAGUUUCCCCUUCGGGGGCAACGGUGACAGGUGGUGCAUGGUUGUCGUCAGCUCGUGUCGUGAGAUGUUGGGUUAAGUCCCGCAACGAGCGCAACCCUUGAUCUUAGUUGCCAUCAUUUAGUUGGGCACUCUAAGGUGACUGCCGGUGACAAACCGGAGGAAGGUGGGGAUGACGUCAAAUCAUCAUGCCCCUUAUGACCUGGGCUACACACGUGCUACAAUGGACGAUACAAACGGUUGCCAACUCGCGAGAGGGAGCUAAUCCGAUAAAGUCGUUCUCAGUUCGGAUUGUAGGC